rnacentral:rRNA from 1 species
GACGAACGCUGGCGGCGUGCUUAACACAUGCAAGUCGAACGGAAAGGCCCCCAUCUUGGUGGGGGUGCUCGAGUGGCGAACGGGUGAGUAACACGUGGGUGAUCUGCCCUGUACUUCGGGAUAAGCUUGGGAAACUGGGUCUAAUACCGGAUAGGACCAUGGUUUAGUGUCUCAUGGUGGAAAGAUUAUUGUUUUGGUGCAGGAUGAGCUCGCGGCCUAUCAGCUUGUUGGUGGGGUAAUGGCCUACCAAGGCGUCGACGGGUAGCCGGCCUGAGAGGGUGGACGGCCACAUUGGGACUGAGAUACGGCCCAGACUCCUACGGGAGGCAGCAGUGGGGAAUAUUGCACAAUGGGCGCAAGCCUGAUGCAGCGACGCCGCGGGGGGGAUGACGGCCUUCGGGUGGUAAACUCCUUUCGUUAGGGACGAAGCCACGCUUGUUGGGUGUGGUGACGGUACCUUUGUGAAGAAGCACCGGCUAACUACGUG